GGUUCGCCUGAGAGAUAUUUAUAUAUUACUCAAAACAAAUAUUCAUUUUAAUUAUAUUCACUAAAUACCUGUUAUGAAAUGCUUUGAGCACACACGUGCAUACUUGAUUUCAUCUUCUGUAAAAUCUUCUCUCUUUAUUGCUGCUAGCCACUUCUGUCUUCUCAAAAUGACCAAUUCUCUCAAUUGCUGUUGAUGCUUAUAACUAGCCAAAUUUGAAGGAAUGCGGAAAAAACGAACAUUGUCACGUUCUCCACGGCUUCCACAAUUUAUCAUGCAGCAAAAAGAGGGCAUCUUGAGUUUCACACACAAAUGAAACAACGAAAAGAAGAUAUAUAAACACUCGAACUUUAACACAGAUAACGGAGAAUACGCUGAUUCUGAGAGGAACUUAAGAGAACUAAUGGAAAAUUAAUACACGAAAUAUCCGUCGUUUCACAAUUCCCCUUCCACAACUUCAUUUUUAAACUGUUACAGAGUUAAACUUCUUUUUUCAACCUUAGCAGUAUGAAUUGUAUGUUCUCCAACCUCCAUUUUUAAAGGGAUUUGACAGCGCAGUGACAGGGCAUUAGACUGCCCUAUUCAGGUACUCUUUGCUUUCGCUUUAAGGCGCAUUUAUACCAAACGAGCAUUAUUCGCGAACACUAACCGAUUUCAAGCGAAUAACCAGUAAUAACCGCGGUUAUUAGAGGUUAUGCCCUUGGUUAUAUCCCGAAUAACCAACAAUCUUGAAUACAGUUUGGUUUUUUCUGUGGUUAUUAGGUCCAACAAUAGAUGAAUAACUUGUAUUUAUGGCAAAACAACAUAACCAACGUCUCUGCACUGCACUCCCUCUUAUUUGUGUUCUGUGCUGCCCACGAUUUAUUUAUUGUUAUUAUUUUGUUGUAGUGCUGGUAGAUAAACUGGGAGUGCAUAUUUAUUUCAGAUUUCCCAUCUAUAGAUCAAUCUUUAAUUUACAGUGAAAUCAGUGAAUCAUGUCAAGUAAUGUUCCGGUUGUCGAAGAAAAGUUUCCACCUUCUCACUGAAGUGAUUGGGAAGGCAGAUACUAAAAAAAUUCUCUCCAAAAAAUAUAGAGGAGGACACUAUUCAUUGGACCUCAAAUCACAAUUGCUGAUUUCAUUGUAGUAUUUGGCUACUGGGGAUACUUUAUUAUCAAUAGGAGACAGAUUCAAUGUAUCACCUACUACAGUGAUGAACGUGAAUAACAGAAUCAUAUAUUUCUUUUUGCAACUAAAAAAAAAAUAUAUUAUUUUUCCUACCCAUGAAGAGCUUCACACUGUAGCACAAAGCUUCCCUCAUUACCCAGGAGCAGUUGGAGCAAUAGAUGGGACCCAUAUAUUUGCUAAGGUGGAGAAGGCUCAGCAAGAUAGCUAUAUCGAUAGAUAUAGAAGGCAUUCAAUAAAUCUGAUGGCUAUAUGCGAUGGAAAUUGUUUCUUCACUUACAUAUUCGUUGGAUUUCCAGGAUCUGCACAUGAUUCCCGGGUGUUUCAAAAUUCUUCACUAUAUCAUCAAAUUGAGUCACAUGGUCCGCACGGUUUUUUGAUGAAAAUUUUCAUCUUAUAGGGGACAGUGCCUUCGGACUGAGAAGUUGGCUCAUGACGCCUUAUAAAGAAAAUAAUCUUACGAGGAAACAAAAAAAACAUAAUUAUAUGUUGAGUGCAGACAGAGUGAAGAUCGAACAUGCCUUUGGAUUAUUGAAGGGAAGAUGGAGACGACUGCAAUAUAUUAAUGUGUAUAAUAUUUGUAAAACGGUUGAAAUCAUCACAGCAAGCUGUGUUCUCCAUAAUUUUUGUUUGAUUAAUAAGGACUUAUGGGAUGAAGAGGCUCCCAUAGAAUGUGCUGAUAGAAUAUUGAAUUAUCAAGAGGAGGAAGAUCAGCAAGAGGGUAGGGUGAAAAGAGAUGUAAUCGCAAACAGUUUUUGAUGUAAUGAAUUUUUCUGCUGUAGUCUGGAGAAUGGAACUUCUGCUAUAAUUUAUUGAAUGGAAAGUAACACUUUACAAAAACAGUAUCGAAAGAAGUUUUUUGGGACGAUUUGUUUGACAAUAACAUGAACU